rnacentral:lncRNA from 1 species
UAACCUCAUCUACAAGCAUUUGCCCUGUGGAUUCCAGCAUUUGCUAUUCCUGGAAUCAAGGAAUCCCAAGUCUGGGCAAUGAAACCAAAGCCAGGAGUUGAUGAAUUCUGCAGUCGGGCCAGCUGUCGCACCUCAGCGGGGUGCACAUGUUAUCCACCAGCAAUGGACCUUUGGGGAGGGGGGAGUUUUUAGUUUGUUUUACAAAUUUUUCCUGCAAAAGUGGAAACACUGUAUUUUCAUUUUAAUUUAUAUUUGAAAUUUUAUUUAGUUCUUGAAGUAGAUCUGCUUCUUCAUCUUGACGUGUAAUGGUCAGUUGUACGUAAUGUAUUUAUAUGUUAAUUUGUUAUGUAUACAGAUAUGCAAGUCUUGUCAGAAUUGGCCUCAGUGUAGUUAAAGGGCGGAAGAGGAAGAUACUGACUAGUCAUAGAAAUACCUCAUUCGCCUGUGGGAAGAGAAGAGAAGCCUCUUCAGGGUGAGUGAAUGGCAAAGUGGUUGCUUCUGGCUCCUCCUUCCCCUGUGGUCUUGGAAGUGUGUGGAAGGCAGGGACAGAGAUGGAGGCUGAGCCAAUAGACUGAAG